UACGAAGGGGGCUAGCGUUGUUCGGAAUUACUGGGCGUAAAGCGCGCGUAGGCGGUUUUGCAAGCCAGAGGUGAAAUGCCUGAGCUCAACUUAGGAAUUGCCUUUGGGACUGCGAGGCUUUGAGGACUGGAGAGGUGAGUGGAAUUCCCAGUGUAGAGGUGAAAUUCGUAGAUAUUGGGAAGAACACCGGUGGCGAAGGCGGCUCACUGGCCAGUUUCUGACGCUGCAGCGCGAAAGCGUGGGGAUCAAACAGG
rnacentral:rRNA from 4 species